rnacentral:rRNA from 1 species
UCUUUAUCACCGAGUGCUUGCACUCACCGAUAAAGAGUUGAGUGGCGAACGGGUGAGUAACACGUGGGCAACCUGCCCAAAAGAGGGGGAUAACACUUGGAAACAGGUGCUAAUACCGCAUAACCAUAGUUACCGCAUGGUAACUAUGUAAAAGGUGGCUAUGCUACCGCUUUUGGAUGGGCCCGCGGCGCAUUAGCUAGUUGGUGGGGUAAAGGCUUACCAAGGCAAUGAUGCGUAGCCGAACUGAGAGGUUGAUCGGCCACAUUGGGACUGAGACACGGCCCAAACUCCUACGGGAGGCAGCAGUAGGGAAUCUUCCACAAUGGGCGAAAGCCUGAUGGAGCAACGCCGCGUGGGUGAAGAAGGUCUUCGGAUCGUAAAACCCUGUUGUUAGAGAAGAAAGUGCGUGAGAGUAACUGUUCACGUUUCGACGGUAUCUAACCAGAAAGCCACGGCUAACUACGUGCCAGCAGCCGCGGUAAUACGUAGGUGGCAAGCGUUAUCCGGAUUUAUUGGGCGUAAAGGGAACGCAGGCGGUCUUUUAAGUCUGAUGUGAAAGCCUUCGGCUUAACCGGAGUAGUGCAUUGGAAACUGGGAGACUUGAGUGCAGAAGAGGAGAGUGGAACUCCAUGUGUAGCGGUGAAAUGCGCAGAUAUAUGGAAGAACACCAGUGGCGAAAGCGGCUCUCUGGUCUGUAACUGACGCUGAGGUUCGAAAGCGUGGGUAGCAAACAGGAUUAGAUACCCUGGUAGUC